AAUUUGAUGCGACGCGAAGAACAUUACCGGGGCUUGACAUGGUAGAAGUAGGAACCCGAAAGGGUAACGAACGGUAUCCAGUCCGUGACUAUCACAGGUGUUGCAUGGCUGUCGUCAGCUCGUGUCGUGAGACGUUGGGUUAAGUCCCCUAACGAGCGAAACCCUUGUUUUUAGUUACCAGCGGGUUAUGCCGGGUACUCUAGAAAGACUGCCGUCGUCAAGACGGAGGAAGGUGGGGAUGACGUCAAGUCAUCAUGGCCCUUAUGCCCCGGGCUGCACACGUGCUACAAUGGUCGGUACAAACGGAAGCGAAGCCGAGAGGUGAAGCGAAUCCAAGC
rnacentral:rRNA from 1 species